rnacentral:rRNA from 1 species
UACGGGGGGAGCAAGCGUUGUUCGGAUUUACUGGGCGUAAAGCGUGCGUAGGUGGUUCGUUAAGUCUGAUGUGAAAGCCCUGGGCUCAACCUGGGAACUGCAUUGGAUACUGGCGGUCUAGAGUGCGGUAGAGGGUGGCGGAAUUCCCGGUGUAGCAGUGAAAUGCGUAGAUAUCGGGAGGAACAUCCGUGGCGAAGGCGGCCACCUGGACCAGCACUGACACUGAGGCACGAAAGCGUGGGGAGCAAACAGG